rnacentral:tRNA from 1 species
GGAGGGAUUCCCGAGCUGGCCAAAGGGGGCAGACUGUAAAUCUGCUGGCAAUGCCUUCGAAGGUUCGAAUCCUUCUCCCUCCACCA